CUUCAAAAAAUUUGGAGGAGUAUACUCCUGUCUUCUUUAGAAUUUUUAAAGCUUCGAACAAGCGUGUAGUGCUCUUAUGCUCCGAUGCAAGAAGUUCUUCUUUGAAGAGUGAGUUGUACAAGCCAUCAUUUGCUGGAUUUGUAGAUGUGGAUUUGUCUACUACUAAGAAGCUUUCUCUUAGGAGUUUGAUUGAUCAUUCUGUAGUGGAGAGUUUUGAAGUAGGAGAGGAAAAACAAAUAUUUU